GUUGGUCCUUGCGGGUGAUGUUGCUUUCUCCUCAAGUCGUACGAGAAAAUAACGGAAAACUGACCCAAGAUCAGUCCUGUACAUAGGCAACUUCAAUCCAAUGUAAUGCGGAGCACGUUCCAGCUCGUCAACACAAUCGGCUGCAGGGGAGAUUACUUUCUGUGUUCAGUUUAUAUAAUAACAUCAAAUUAAAUGAAUCUAAGAAACGCUUUUGCAGGCAGUUUGAAUGUAUAUUCUUAUUCUGUGCCGAAUCGGUGUAAUUUGACCUACAACACACAUGCGCAUCAUUACUUCAACAAAGAAGGCAACUUGUAACGUACCCGAUCCUCCCAUGCGACCAUUCUCUUUCCCGGUACAUAGGUUCCACAAGGUACCCCCUGCUACUCCUCAGCAAGAGGAAGAAGGAUAACAUUUUCUCGUCAACUGCACUGUGUCCUCACAGUGGUAUGAUGAAUCAGACCUCAAUGGCAGCAAUCCAAAGGUUGUAUGAGGCAAUUGUGAAAGUGGCAAUCAACACCCAUGCCCCCACACUACAACCCUCCAACUCUCCUCCUGUUGCUGCCCAAAUAGCUGUAUGAUACAGUUGCCCCCAGGAGACCAGCUACACCCUCAUCCUCACGCAGGUUGAAACCCCGCUAUCCCCCACCACCCAGGA